rnacentral:lncRNA from 1 species
CUAGAUAUGCUCUUAUUACUUCUAUUUGAAGAUGACUGAACAUAGUCUUAAACGUACCCUUAGGACAACACACACCUAUGAUGUGCCCGAGCAAAUGGCAUCGUUUUAAGAUGUAAUGCAAAGUCGAGAGUUGCUUACCACAAAUAUGUCCAUUACAUAAUCCCUACCCAAGACAAACACAUAAAUACUUCGUACUCCGAACCUGGGUCACUACAGCCAUGAUAGCUUCAAGUCAGCAUACAUACACAAACGAUGACGGGGUUUCAUAACCCACUAGAUAAAUUAGGGUUUCUUAACCAACUAGGAGAGAUCAUACUAGAUAGACAUAAAGAGAAGAACGGUUGUAGGCACUAGCACAAUAAGAGAACCAUUGCACGCCUUCUCAAUGUUAUUCAGCUUCUUUACCAAUAGAUUCGACACACAUAUCAUAUGAAAUGGAGCACCGCUGAAGUAAAUAGCAGACGGUGGUAUGGUUCCUUAUGCAUCCCAUUCAUAUCAUCAUGCUCCAGUCAAAGCCCUCGUUCUUGUCAUUUCUCUCUUUUUCCCACGAGUAUGACACACGAUAUGUAGUAGGAGACUUU